ACCAGAGGUAGCAAGAAUGUUUGUUCCACUGUGUGAAAAUGCAGAGUUUACUGUAAAAAAGAAAAUGAAUCUUAUGUCAGAUGACAAAAGAAAUUAUUGCAUAGAAGUGACCAGAGGUUUGGUUUGAAAUUUUGGCCUUCAUUUUGGUGUGCUGCUUAAGAGAGGUCUGGUACGUCAUCAACUGCAAGACUGUGAACUGUACAAAGUAUAAUUUUACAAACUGGACAGCCAACAGUACUGGAGCCAGAUGCUGUUAACCCAUGCCGGAACUGAUCUGGCUGGCACUAGGACCACACAGUCUUGUGCACCAACCCCCGAGAUACUGGGGUUCAGUAACCUGCCAAAAGACUGAAGACUGAAGGAGCCCAGAACUGGAUCACCAACUUUCCAGCUGUUAGACCUCAUGAGCUACACCAACCAUAAAGUUUUUAAUCAUUGAACUAUAUUUGGACAGCUGUGUUGACUGUGAUAUGAUUUUAACUGUUC